CGGCGGGCUUGGCCCGGGUCCUGCCGCCCAGGAGCUCUGCUUCCUUAACACCCUGACCUUUCCCAAGAGGAGAAAGAAAUGACCAAUUUCCAGGAAAGAAACUUUAUGACUGUGCUGAGUGUGGUAAGAGCUUCAGUAGAGCACAGACCUUCGCUAUCAUCAGAGGAUUCACACAGGAGAGAAACCUUUCGUAUGUGAUACGUGCGGCAAGGGCUUCAGUUAUAACACAAACCUCUGUGUUCAUCAGAGAAUUCACACAGGAGAGAAGCCUUUUAAGUGUGAGGAGAGUGGCAAGGGCUUCAAACAGAGCUCCAAUCUUCGCAUUCACAGUCCAUACAAGAGAGAAACCUUUCGUGUGUGAUACCUGUGGCAAAGGGUUCAGUUGUAACACAAAUCUCCGUGUUCAUCAGAGAGUCCAUACAGGAGAGAAACCUUUUAAAUGUGAAGAAUGUGCUAAAGGCUUCCAUCAGAGCUCCAAUCUUUGCAUUCAGCAAAGAGUCCACACUGGAGAGAAACUCUACAAAUGUGAUAAGUGUGGUAGAGGCUUCAGUAAGAGCAUAUAUCUUCAAGUACAUCACAGAGUUCACGUGAGAGAAACUGUUUAAAUGUGAAACAUGUGGCAAGGGCUUCAGUUAAAACUCAAACCUUCAUGUUCAUCAGAAAGUCCACACAAGAGAGAAACCUAUACUUGUGAAGAGUGUGGUGAGAACUUCAGUCAGAGCUGCAGCCUUCAAGUUUGCCAGGGUAUGAAACUGGAGAAAAACUCUACAAAUGUGAUGUGCUUGAUAAGGGCUGCAGUCAGAACAUAGGCUUUGAGUUCAUCAAAGAAUUCACACAGAAAAAAAAAACCCAUUUAUAUGUGAUAAGUGUGGUAAGGGCCUCAUAAAGAGCGCUAAGCAAGUCCACUUAGGAGGGGAAUGUUACAAAUGGAUGUAAUAAGAGUCUCAUUUGGAACACAGACCUUCCGUAUCAUCAGAGUCCACAGACAAGAAAAACCAUUCAAAUGCAGUACGUGUCAUAAGGGCUUCCGUUAUAACAUGAGCCUUCAUCAGAGUUGAGCUCAAGUCUUCACAUCCAUCAGAUUCCAUGUGGAAGAAAAAUACUACAAGCGUGGAGAGUGUGGUGACUUCAGCUGGAGCACAAAUCUGUUCCUUCACCAGAGAUCCUGUGUCUCCCACUAGCCUCUGAGCUCCAGGCAAGCACACUAUUUAGGCUCUGCUCACCGCUGUAUCUCCAGCUCCUAGGGUAAUACCUGGCACAGAGUAGCCAUCAGCAAAUACUUGUUGAAUGAGAAUCUAUGUGGGAGAGAUCGCCUAUUCAUGUUUUAUGUGUGGUAGUGGCUUCAGAGUCUACACAUUGAAACCUUUUAAAAAUAUGUAUUAAAAAUUUCAUCAGAUUACAGUUUUCAUCUGUAGGAGAGAAAGCCUGUUAACUUGAUAAGUAUGGCAUUGCAUUGGACUUUAAUCAGAGAGAAAUAGUGAUAUUAUUAAAUCAGUAUAGUAAAUUUAAAAUUACAUAUCUUUAAUAUAAGACAGUCCACAGGGGGAACCCAAAAAGCUGUGUCAAGCAUAAGAAACUAGUCAAAACUCAUGCAUUAAAACGUGUAUCUAAUUGUUAUUCAGGAAGAAAAAAGUCCUGUGAAUGCUCUAAAUGAAAUUAUGUGUCAGGCUCUGGACCCAGCACCUUUUCCUAAGGUUGACUCAACAGAAUCUGGUAGCAGUAGGUAUUCUUUUGUUUUAUAUUUUAUCUCAAAGAGGCAUAUGUUGACCUCAACCAGUGAGUUUUCUAGGGCUAGUGACUAACAAGGUCUUUCUCUUGGGGAAGACACCCCUUAUCUUGCAAAGCGCCUAUAGCCCUAACCUGUCUCCCUACCCAUCAUGUCACCAGGCUGUUGGAUACCUCUCGCCAUGGAUUAUAGAAAUCAUCGGAUGAGGUGUCUUCAGGGAGGGUGUCUGCAAAAGAGAUAGCUAAAGGAAGGGGCGGGUCAAGGUGUAAGGAAGAGGGUUAGAAGAGAGGAAAGCAAGUCUGAAAGGAUGGGGAAUGGGUAGAAGGAGAGGGAAAAGAACAGUGCCUGGGAGGUGGGUGGUAGAGUAAGAAGAAGGUGAAAAGCUGAGAGGCUUCUCCAAAAUUUCCCUCAAGUGGGUCAACUACCAGUACAAGACUCUCCCUUUAGGUCUGUGCUAACCAGAGAGUUGUCUGUAGUGGAUGGAGAUGGACCCUGUUGACAUCAGGACCAGUUGGAAGCAGAGAUGAAAGAGCGGCUUUGAGGGGCCUUGAAAGGUAACCUCAUGCACCAACAUUUCCCCAGGUGGACCAAAUCAGGUGGGCCCAUUGUCCCUCCAGUGGAAGGAAGAGUCAUAUAUGAAGGCAAUAAUAAGGCUGAUCCCCUUCAGCAGCCAUAUAUUAAUCAGAACAGAGCCUGAGGGAAGAAGGAAAACCUUGGGUAGCGGAGGCUAAGGAAGAUGUCAAUGACCCAGUCUCAUCACUAAGUCUGGGGAAGGAAGAGAAAAAGUUUGUCAACAUGUCUACUGAAUCCUUCACCUAAGAACAAUGUGUGGAUCCCAUCCCCCCUCAGCAGCUGCUUCUGGGAAAGAAUAUUCAAGAUUAGAGAGGUUGUUGGGCUUCUUAGGAGGACUAUUCCGCUUGACGGCACUGGGUUUGGUUUUUUUGGUAUGCCCCUUGAGCUUUCCAGACACCAUUGGCCCAGGGUGGGAAAAGGGGUCAUAUCCUGGGACUUACAGUGGUGACUGGUACCGGGGUAUCUUUGAAUGAAGGUAUUAAUUAAAUUCUCACAACUCUUAGGUUUUAUAUUUUCUUUUCCUUUUUCCUCUUUUUGCUCUCUGUGUAUCUCCUGUUUCUCUUUGCUUUUAGAUUUGAAAAAAAAGUACACUUUAAGUAUAAAAAUAUUUCAGACAUACAGAAAAAUUCAGAAAAUAUAACAAGCGACUGUUUUCCUACCAUUGAUAUAAAAUAGAUGUUAAAAAAUUUGCCAUAUUAGCUUCAGAUUUUUUUUAUUCUUUCGGUAAGGAGUAAAAUAGAACAGAUACAGCUUAAAGCCUUAUGCCUCAUCUUUUCUCUCCACUUCCUGCUCUAACAUUAUGCUCAAGUUACGGUUAUUAUUCCUGUGUAUGUUUUUGUGUUUUUAUUACGUGUUAUGUCUGUAGUAUUUUAAAAUUUUACGUAGAUUGUGGCAUAUAUUAUAUUUUUGCAAUUUGCUCCCUUUACUGCAUUACAUUCUUUAGAUUUUUAUGCUGAUACGUUGUUGUUGUUAGUUGCUGUUGAGUUGGCUCCUCCUUGUGGAGACCCCAUGUAAGGCAGAAUGAAACGUUGCCCAGCCCUGUGCUACCAUCAGGAUCACUGGUAUGUUUGCGUCCAUUGUUGUGGCCAUUGUGUCAAUCCAGCUGAUACGUUAGAACUAGUUAACGUCUUUGUUGUUCUAAGCUAUCAGUUAGAUAUUCUUUUCAAUAGAUUUAUUUGUAUAUCCCUAUGCCAGUAAUACACUUUUUGACUAUUAUGGCUUUAUGGAAAUUGUCUUGGCUGAUUUAAACCCUUUAUUCUUUCGUGUAAAUUUUAGGAUCAGUUUGUCAAAUUCCUUGAAGAAAAUCCGUUGGGUUUUUUUUUUUUUUUUCCAACUGCUUGAGUUUUUGUUGUUUGUUACUUUUUCUCCUUUCUUCCACUGGAAUAUAUUUCCUUUAUUCUCCUUUUGUUUUCCCCUAGAAGAUUAGAAGUGAAAUUUCCUCUGCUUAUGUUUUGUGUUAACAUGCAUAACUUAGCAAAGUCUAUAUUAUGCCUCUCUUUGACAAUACAGAGCAGAAUACUUUAACUCUAUUUAUCUUCCUCCCAAGUUGCAUGUUCUGAUAACAUGUAUUGUUACAUUGUGUAGUCUAACAUCAUAUUUUUAGUACAUUCUCAGUUUGUCAUUAUUAUUAUUGUUUUAAGUAGCCAGUCCAAGUUUGUAUUACCCAGCUCUUUUACCAAUUUCUUACCACUGGUUUUGUGUUUUUUCCUCCAGAGUUCAAGGUCCUCAGCCUUCCAGAGCAAAGGCAGCUUGUGUAGUGGUUGAAAGCACCAACUCUGUAACUAGACUACCUGAGUUUGGUACCCAGAUCUGUUGAUCUAAAGUUGUGUGACCUUGAGCAGUUUAUUUAAUUUCUUUGUGCCUCAAUUUCUCUGUCUGUAAAGCAGGAAUAUGUUACUAUCUACUUCAUGGGGUUGUAGAAUGAUUAAAAUUGUGCCUGGCACAUAAGCGUUAUAAAGGUAUUUGUUAUAUAAAUAAAAUAAUUACUCAGUAGUUUUUCAGCAAGAGUGUCUGAGAGUAAUAAAUUCUUUAUCUUUAUUUCUCCCUCACUCUUGAAUUUUAGUAUAUAGCUGGUAAUAGAAUUCUAAAUUGACAUUUAUUUUUCCUCAGCAAUUCAUUAACCUUUAGUGCUACAAUUGAAAUAUCUUUUAUUAGCCUAGUUGUUCUCUUUCAGGCAGUCUUUCUUUUCUCUCUGGUUGGUUUUAAGAUGACCUCUUUGUCUUUAGUGUUCUGCCAUUUUACCACAAUAUAUUUGGGUGUAGAUUUAUUUAUAUUUUUUCCAAUCAGAACACAUUGCAAUUUUACAUUUUGUUUUCUACUUAAAAAAUUUUUUUAACAUCCUUAUUUUGUCUUUCUCCUUCCUUUAGUUUUUUUUUUUUUCUAGUUUCUUAAGUUGCAUGGUUAGAGCUUAUUUAUUUUUUAGCCUUUCUUGUUUUCUAAUUAUUUAAGUUUACUCUGAGUAAUUUGGUAGCAUCUUUUCCAGAAUACACUUUGGCAAUAUGUAUCAAAAGCCUUUAAAAUGUUUAUGCCAUUUGACUUAGAAAUUUCACGUUUAAGAAUCUAUGUUAAGGAAAUAAUCAAAUGAAUUAAAGUGAUUCACAUUUAAUAGGUAUUCCUUACCAUGUUAUUUACAAAAUUUUUAAAAGAAGACAUUGCUUUAUUACAAUAGAGAUUUUUUUCUAAAUGAUAGUACUGUGUAUCUAUAUGAUACAAUAUUCUCUAGCAAGAGGAAUGAUAUUUUCAGGUAAUUUUAAUGACUUAGAAAAAUGUACAUAAUCCAGCAGAUACAAAGACAUGUACAGAGAGAAAAACUUUUCAGGAUUUUGCAAGCAAUCUCUUAAUGUUUCCCUAUGCCUAUUUACAAUAUAGGGAUAUCGAUUACAAAAUAAUACAUGCCCUUUGUAAAAUAUCAAGGCAUUAUGAAGCAAAAGCAAAUGUAUCUGGUUUAUUGUGGAGUGUCAACUCAGUGAGGUAUGUAAUGUUGUGAUAUGGUUUUAGUUUGUCCAGUCACUGCCUUCAACUCUAUUCUGUUGAUUCACCCUGAAUCAAUGAAUGCAUAAAUAAAUAUUUGGUAGGAAAGAGAGAUCUGGAGGUGGGGCUUUCGGAAAAAGGGAGGCUUUCCCUCUCACUAGAAUAGGCUCAGUUCCCUGAGGAAGAAUACAAACUGGGUAAAAGAUUAAAAACUGGUGAAAAUACUUGCAACUCAUAUCACAGACAAAGGAAUUCAUCUCCCUGGUUAUCAGAGCUCCUAGAAAUCAAGACGAAAAAGCACAAAAUCAUGAAUGAACUGUUCAGAGAUGAAGAAAUACAAAUGACCCUAAAUAUAUGAAAAGGUGCUCAACUUUUCUCAUAAUAUGAGAAAUACAAAUCAAAACCGUACUCAGAUACCAUUUCCCACUAGCAUAUUAGCAAAAUAUCAAAAAGUUUGAAAACUCAUUGUUAGUGAGGGUGUAGAGAAGCAUUGGUGCUGGGAGUGCCAGACAGAGCAACUCCUAUGGAGAGGGAUUUGACAAUGUCUACUAAAACUAUAGAUAUAUUUAUCUUUAGAUCUAGAUAUCCCACUUCUGAGAUUCUACCCCACAGAUGUACUUGAACAUGUACUUUAAAAAUAUUUGAGAUUGUUUCUAAUACUAAAAGAUGGAAAACAAUACAAAUGCCUAUUAAUAAGGGACUGGUUAAGUAAAUCGUGGUACAUCUACACAGUGGAAUACUAUGCAGCUAUAAUAAAGAGUAAGAAAAAAUUCUUACUGAAAUGGAGAGAUCUCCAAGAUACAUUAUUAAAUGAAAAGUGUUAGGGGAAGAACAAUGUGUGUGUGAUAUGAAUAUAUAAAAAACAUAAUAUAUAUAAAAAACAUUUUGUAUAAGAAGGGGAAUGAGACUCUAUACCCAUAUUUGCUUAUAUUUGUGCAAUGUCACCCUGGAAGGAUAAACAAGGAACUAAUAAAAUGGUUUCUGGGGGACCAGGGGUGGGAGGGAGGCUUCUCUGUGUACUUUUUUCUUUUUUACUUUUCAAUGUAGUUUUGAUUGUUGAAUGAUUUGAAUGCCCCAGUACCUUUUCAUUGACAUUAUAAUAUGGGCUUUCCUUAUUCAUUAUUUCAUGUGAUGAAUUAUUUUUAAUAAAAUAUUUAUAUGUAAUUUUUCCAUCUAUAGGUUAGUCUGGUUUUAUUUUUUGUGCUAUUUUAACCAGGAUUUGGUGGUAUGGUUAUGCCGUCUCCAAAGCAUAGUAAGCCAUCUAAAUAAACUAGAAAAAGGAGAACAAAAUAAACACAAAGCAGAGGCAGAAGGAAGGUUAUAAUAAUGAUAAAAGCAGACAUUAAUUAAAUUGGAAAAAGCAAUAGAGAAAAUCAAUGAAACCAAAAGAUGGUUCUUCAGAAAAAUCAAUGAAGUCGAGAAACCUUUAGCCAGACUAAGUAAGAAAAAAGAGGAAAGACACAAAUUACCAGCAUAAGGAAUGAAAGAGGGGACAUCACUACUCUUCCCAUAGACAUUAAAAGGGUAAUAAAAAAAUAUUGUGAACAUGUCUGUGCACAUACAUGCAACAAUUUAGAUGAAAUGGAUCAAUUCCUUGAAAAGACAGAAGUUAUGAAGACUCAUUCAAGAAGAAAUAAAGUGAAUAGUGCUGUAUCUAUUAAAGAAAUCUAAUCCAUAACUAAAAACCUUCCAAAUGAAACUCUACAUCAAGAUUAUUUUGUUGGUGAAUUCUACCAAACAUUUAAGGAAGAAAUGACACCAAUUCUUCACAAUCUCUCCCAGAAAAUAGAAAAGGAGAUAACACUUCCCACCUAAUUUUAUGAGGCCAGCAUUACCCUCACAUAGAAACUAGACAAAGACAGUAUAAGAAAAUAAAACUACAGGCCAAUAUCCCUCAUGAUGAUAGACAUAAAACUCCUCAAACAAAUAUUAGCAAAUCAAAUCCACCAGUACAUAAAAAGGUAGUACACCACAACCAAAUGAGGUUUAUCACAGGAAUACAAGGCUGGUUGAAUACUGGAAAAUCAAUAUAAUUCACCACAUUAAUAUACUUAACAUGGAGCCAUGGUGGCGCAGUGGUUAAAAGCUUGGCUGCUAACCAAAAGGUCGGCAGUUUGAAUCUACCGGCCACUCUUUGGAAACCCUAUUGGGCAGUUCUCUGUUCUAUAGGGUUGCUAUGAGUUGCAGCUGACUCGAUGGCAUAUAACAACAGCAAUAAUACACUUGUGAUGGUUAAGAUUUUGUGUCAGCUUGGCUGGGUCAUGAUUCUCAGUGUAUAUAUGUGAUCACUCCCGUGAUGGAAUCUGCUGUAAGUAGCCAGUCAAUUGAAAGGGAGUUUCCUUGGGCAUAUGGCCUGCAUCCAAAUAUAAGUUGAUGUUCUGGCUUUGGCCCUCUGUGGAUCCUGCAGUUGCCUCCUGUUGGUCUGACCUCCGUUUCUUGGGACUUGAGCUAGCAACUUAUCUGCCGAUCUUGACUUUUUCUCUCUCUGGACCGUAAUCACCUUUCCCUUCCACAAGACGUCACACUGGUCCAUUACGUUGAUGACGUUAUGCUGAUUGGACCUAGUAAGGAAGAAAUGUCAAUGACUCUGGACUUACUGGUAAACAUUUGCAUGCUAGAGGGAAAUUAAUCUCACAAAAAUUCAGGUACCUUCCACCUCAGUGAAAUUUCUAGGGGUCUAGUGGUGUGGGGCAUGUCGAGAUAUUCCUUCUAGAGUGAAGGAUAAGUUAUUGCAUCUGGCAGCACCCACAACUAAAAAAGGAGGCAUAGUGCCUAGCAGACCUCUGGAUUUUGGAGGCAACAUAUUCCUCAUUAGGGUGUGCUACUCCAGCCUAUUUAUCAAGUGACUUGAAAAGCUGCUAGUUUUUAGUGGGGCCCAGAGCAAGAGAAGGCUCUACAACAGGUUCAGGCUGCUGUGCAAGCCACUCUGCCACUUGGGCCAUAUGAUCCAGCUGAUCCAAUGGUGCUUGAAGUGUCAGUGGCAGAUAGAGAUGCUGUUUGGAGUCUUUGACAGGCCCCUAUUGGUGAAUCACAGCGUAGACCCUUGGGAUUUUGGAGCAAAGCCCUGCCAUCCUCUGCAGAUAACUAUUCUUUUGAGAAAUAGCUUUUGGCUUGUUACUGGGCUUUAGUAGAGACUGAACGCUUAGCCAAGGGACACAAAGUCACCAUGUGGCUUGAGCUGCCCAUCAUGAGCUGGGUGUUGUCUGACCCACAGAGUCAUAAAGUUGGACGUGCACAGCAGCACCCCAUCAUUAAAUGGAAGUGGUAUAUACGAGAUCGGGCCCGAGUAGGACCUGAAGGCACAAGUUGCACAAGGACGUGGCCCAAAUGCCCAUGGUCUCCACUCCUGUCACAGUGUUUUCCAUCCCCCAGUCUGCACCUAUGGCCUCAUGGGGAGUUCUUCAUGAUCAAUUGACGGAGGAAAACUUGUGCCUGGUUUACAGAUGGUUCUGCAUGACAGGUGGGCACCACUCGAAAGUGGACAGCGGCAGCACUACAGCCCCUUUCUCGGACCUACCUGAAGGACAGUGGGGAAGGGAAACCCUCCCAAUGGGCAGAACUUCCAGCAAUGCAGCUGGUUGUUCACUUUGCUUGGAAGAAGGAAUGGCCAGAUGUGCAACUGUAUACUGAUUCAUGGGCUGUGGCCAAUGGUUUGGCUGGAUGGUCAGGGACUUGGAAGUAAUGUGAUUGGAAAAUUUGAGACAAGGAUUUAUGCGGAAGAGGUAACUGGAUAGACCUCUGUGAAUGGGCCAAAGAAGUGAUGAUAUUUGUCUCAUGUGAAUGCUUACCCAAGGAUGACCUCAACAGAGGAUGAUUUUAACAAUCAAGUGGAUAGGAUGAUGUGUUUUGUGGAAACCACUCAUCUUCUUUCCCCAGCUACUCCUGUCAUUGCUGAAUGGGCUCAUGAACAAAGUGGCCAUGGUUGCUUCAGGAUGAUGAGGAACAUGGUAAGACCAGUGAACUCCAUGAGCAUGCGCCCACUGCCACAUUUCAUUUGCUGUGAAGUGAAUUGCUUGACCAGAAGUAAUGCUAAGUGGGAUACCAUGACAGUGGAUAAGGCAUUCUGUAAAUCCACAAAUGGUAGUUUCCAGCAACAUGGACUUCCACUCACCAAGGCCGACUUGGCUACAGCCACAGCUGAGUGCCCAAUCUGCCAGCAGCAAAGGCCAACAUGAGUCCCUGUUAUGGCACCAUCCCUUGAGGCAAUCAGACAGCAACCUGGUGACAAGUUGAUUACAUUGGACCACUUUCAUCAUGGAAAGGACAGCAUUUUGUUCUUACUGGAAUAGACACUCUGAAUAUGGAUUUGCCUUCCCUAUAUGCAAUACUUCUGCCAAAACUACCAUUUGUGGAUUUACAGAAUGCCUUAUCCACUGUCAUGGUAUCCCACUUAGCAUUACUUCUGGUCAAGCGAUUCACUUCACAGCAAAUGAAAUGUGGCAUUGGGUGCAUGCUCAUGGAGUUCACUGGUCUUACCAUGUUCCUCAUCAUUCUGAAGCAAAUGACUUGCUAGAAUGAUGGAAUGGCCUUCUAAAGACACAAUUACGGCACCAGCUAGGUGGUGAUACCUUGCAGGGUUGGGGCAGUGUUAUCCAGGAGGCUGUAUAACCCAUAGCCAGGAUUCAUGGGUCUGGGAAUCAAGGGGUGGAAAUGGGAGCGACACCACUCACUAUUACCCCUAGUGGCCCACUCACAAGAUUUUUGCUUCCUGUCCCUGUGAUGUUAUGCUCUGCGGGUCUAGAGGUCUUAGUUCCAAAGGAAGGAAUGCUCCUACCUGGAGACACAUCACUGAUUGCAUUGAGCUGGAAGCUAAGAAUGCCACCUGGCCACUUUGGGCUCCUUAUUCCUCUGCAUCUACAGGCAAAGAAGGGAGUUACCAUACUGGCUGGUGUGACUCAUCCUGAUUACCAAGGGGAUUGAUAUUACAUAAGGGAGGUAAAGAAGAGUAUGUCUGGAAUGCAGGAGAUCCCUUAGUACAACUAUGCCCUGUGAUUAAAGUUAAUGGAAAACUGUAGAACCCAGUUCUGACAUGACUACUAAUGGCUCAGACCCUUCAGGAAAUCAUCCUCUUUUGAGGUCACCCUUGAGUAAGCAUUCACAUGAGACACAGAUAUUGUCACUUCUUUGGCCCAUUCACAGAAGUCUAUCCACUUACCUCUUCCCCAUAAAUCCUUGUCUCCAAUUUUCCAAUCAUGUUACUUCCAAGUCCCUGACCAUCCAGCCAAACAAUUGGGCACAGCCCAGAUAAAGAACCACAACCAGCUGAGGUGCUUGCCGAAGGGAAUAUGGGAUGGGUGGUGGAAGAAGGUAGCUCUAAAUACCAGUUACGGCCACGUGAUCAGUUGCAGAAAUGAGGAGUGUAAUUGUUAUUACUAUUUCUGCUUUGCAUGUUGCAUCAAAUAUUUUUGCUUUCUUAUAAAAUAUAAGAUGUAAACAGGGCUAGUGCAUUUUCAGGUGUAUGUGUGUUCGUUGUAUCAUGUAAGUGAAAGUAUGACUUUAUACUUAUCUUUAUUCAGAGAUUAUGUAUGGUUUUAGGAGACAUUUACAGGUGCCAAGUUGACAAGGGCUGGACUGUGAUGGUUAAGAUUGUGUGUCAACUUGGCUGGGCCAUGAUUCUCAGUGUUUUGGCAGUGGUGUGAUGUUGUGGUCACUUCCCUGCUAAGAUUUGAUAUAUGAUCACCCUCAUGAUGGGCAGACGUUCUGGCAGGGCUCCAGGGCUUUUGCUCAUUCUAGGUCCUGCAGCGGGCUCCUGUUCGUCUGACCUCUGGUUCUCGAGACUUGAGAUAGCAGCUUUCCUGAGAUCUUGCCUGCUGAUCUUGGGAUUCAUUGAUCUUCACAGCCUGUGAGCAAGAACCUUGCUCCCAGACCUGCUGAUCUGGGAUUCACCAGACCCUGUGGCUACGUGAAUCAUGAGAAGCCUCUAUCCUGAUCCACAGACUUGGGACGUUACAGCCUCUACAACUACAUGAGCCAUUUCCUUGAUAUAAAUGUCUCUUUCUAUAUAUAUUUAUACACAUUACUGGUUUUGUUUCUCUAGGGAACCCAGCCUAAGACAGCAGCUAUGGAAUGAAGCCCAGGAAUCUGCAUUUUACAUACUCCCCUUUCCCCUGGUUAUUAUUUUGUACCCUAAAGUUAUUGUACACUAAAUAUUAGAUUACUAUUUAUACUCUAGUACACACCUGGAGUAAUUCUGAUAUAGGUGGUCUGCAAACCACAUGUUGAAAAACAAGAAUACUCAUGUAAGAGAUGUUAAAGUAGAACCUUUCACAUAUCUCAAAUAAGACAAGAUUUCACACAAUGCAUAGAACAUCAUUAUCCAGGAAAAAGCAGCAUGUGUUACUUCCCUCCAUGAUCAUUUGUGUUCUUGGCAGAAUCUUGUACCACAGGAUGAGUCAUGUUAUGAACUCACCUCUCCAUGAGGUUUUUUGUCUCCUAAUGGGUCCCGCAUGCCCCAUAAUAGAUCUUUUGGUUUUGAUUGUUCUUUCUGGUGCAAUAUUCAUCAAAUCUCUACAUUCUUUUUCAACUCUUUUUGUUGCUUCUUCAUAAACAGAACCUUAAGGUAACCUUGUAACGUUAAAAUACUUGACAGUACACUAGUGUUCAUUGUAGCACAACUCACAAUAGCCAAAAGGUGGAAACAGCCCAUCUACAGAAGAAUGGAUAAACAAAAUGUGGUAUAAACAUAUAAUGGAAUAUUAUGCAGCCUGUCUUAGGCUGGGUUCUCUAGAGAAGCAAAACCAGUAAAGCAUAUGAAUAUAUAAAACUCCACAAUGAAUUCUACGGAAGCUCUUACCACACUCUUCACAUAUACAGGGUUCUCCCCUGUGUGAAUUGACUGAAGAACUCAAAGACCCAGACUCUGGGUAAAGCCCUUACCACACUCACAGAGUUUCUCUCCUUUGUGAAAUGUCUGAACUUAAAGCUAUGUGCUAAAGGGUUCAGUGAUAACUGAGUCAUAACACAUGUUAUUUUUCUUCUCUGUGAAUUGUUUUAUAUCCUUGUAAGUUUGAGUUAUUAUAAAGGAUUUUGCCACAGCUACUACAAAUUUAGAAUUUCUCUUCUCUGUUACUUCUUUGGUGCCUCUUUGUGACAAAUUGUGAUUUCCAAUUAUAAAUGUUCUUAUACCUAUAUACGUAGAUUUGGAUUAGGUUACUUAGCCAUUAGGUAAUGGAUGGUUUUUCUCUAUAAUGUCAGACAACAGUUGACUGUGGAGCUUCUUUGAACAAGUUCUCUGGUAGAGGUUCCCCCCCCCACACCCCAUUACUCUUCCUUCAACAUUUUUCUGGGUCCCAAAGUAGUCUUUGCUGCCUGGAGACUUUUGGGCUUCACUCACAUAGGAUUUUAUACAAGACCCCGAGUUUUUUCCUAGCUUUAUUGCAUUUGCUGACACUGCCAAUGUGGCAUUGAAUAGGAGGAAAACAUUCCAUCUCUCACUAUUAUGUACGAUGUAAGCUAUGGAUUUUUUGUAGAAGCAUUUACCAGAUUGAGUAAAAGUUAAGAGGUUGGCGGCUAACCAAAAGGUCAAGAGUUAGGAUCCUCUAUGGGGCAGUUCUACAUGAGCUGGAAUCAACUCAACAGCAAUGGGUUUGGUUUCGAUUUGGUUUACCAAAUUGAAGAAAUUUUCUUCUAUUCCUAGCUUGUUUUUAUUAUGCAUGUGCGAAUUGUUAAAUGCUUUUGCUGCAUCUAUUGAUACGAUCACAUGGUUUUUCUUGUUAAGUAUUGUCUUAGGCUGAGUUCUCUAGGGAAGCAAAACCAGUAAAGUGUAUGAAUAUAUAGAGAGAUUUAUAUCAAGGAAAUGGCUCAUGCGAUUGUAGAGGCUGGAAUGUCGCAAGUCUGCAGCUCAGGAUAGAGGCUGAUCACAUAGGCACAGGGGCUGGUGAACCCAAGAUCGGCAGGUCAGAGAGCAGGGCUCUGGUUCACAGGCUGUGAAGAUCAACGAAUCCCGAGAUCAGCAGAUAAGCAGAUAAGUCCCAAGAAAUGGAGGUCAGAGGAACAGGAGGCAGCUGCAGGAUCCAGAGAGGGCAAAAGCAAGAAUGUCCAUUUAUAUUUGGAUGCAGACCACAUGUCCAGGGAAGGAAACUCGCCUUCAACUAAUUAGCUACUCACAGCAGAUCCCAUCAUGGGGGUGAUCACACAUCAAAUCUCGAGAAGAAAGUGACCACAACAUCGCAUGACUCCAUAAACACUGAGCAUCAUGGCCCAGCCAAAUUGACACACAGUCUUAACCAUCACAGCUAUUUAAUCAGUCUGUAGGUGUGGGAACCACAGCUCUGCAUUUUCAAAUGCUCUUCCCCUCCUUGGAGGUGAUAUGGUAUAUUAAAGUUGGAGAAUUAUUGCCCUAUAGGGUAUUUGGGUAAGGUUAAGAAAAUCUUAGGUGGCAAUUUUGCUACUAUCCUGAAUCCACUGGAUAGAGAUUUUUACCAAUGAACUGGUUGAAGUCAGAAAGUGAAAUUUAGGAGCUAGAAAAUGCAAGUCAGUUAGUCCAAGGAAAUAUUAACAAAUUGCUAUAUGAUAUCACCUAUGAUGAGAUGGGUGAUAAUCACAAAUGAACACCAAUGGGGACAAGCAGCCACAACUCUGCUUCAAACAGCAUUAAACAUGGUUGUGUGUGAAUACAGUACUUGAUAAGGGAUAUCUGGCUUGAGUUUCUUAUAUAUGAAAAAUAAAAACCAGAUUGAGGAGCUCCUAUAUUAAAUAGGAUAGUGGUUAAAUUAUCCUUAGUGCAGUGAUGAUCGAAUCAGAAAUAUUAGCAUAAGUUCCAUCUGUUACUGAAAUAAUCUGUGCCACCUUUGGCAUCAGCUUAUUUACUACAAAUAGUCAUAAGGCAUGGCAUGAAUAUACAAUUUAUACUCUAAUCUGAAUCUGUAUCAGUGAUUCCCAAAAUUGAUUGGGCAUCAGAAUCAAUGCUACACAGCUGUUAGAAAUAUGAUUAUCCUGGGCUCCACCCCAGGAGGCUGUAAUUGAGCGUUCUGUGAGGAGGCAUGACUAAGCAUCGAAAUUCUAGAUUUGGGAGCUACUGUUUUAUACUCCUUUACUAAAUGGAACCUGGGCUUCCUAGAGGCUGGCUAGUUCAGAGUCUUGGUCAUGGAAGUUAAGAUGGGGCCUGGAACAUCCUGUUGGAAGGCACUGGACUGAUGCUUUCAGAGUUUCCGGGAUUAGUAAGUAAGGGAAGCAAAGGAACCAGAUGAGAAGAGGAUUUACACUUGUGAGAACAGUCAGGCAAUGACAGAUUGAGUUUUUAAAGCAAUCUAUGAUUACUCUGCCUUGGGUGCAAUAUGUUCCACAAGUACUAUUUAAAGGAUAUAAAAAUAAUUUUGCACUUGUCAGCAGUUACUCCCAGAAAAAUGUUUCUGGUACUGGAACAUUUUGCUCUACUAAGUAAGAAGGCUGUUGGUCCUGUGAUAAAUAAGCCCCCUCUUUUUGACAUGGUAUGGAAAUGAGUGAACCAAUAGGCUUCAAGCACUUACUUCCAGCUUCUGAUAUAGGAACCUUAAGUGGGGCUCUGAUACUUUUUCAGAGACAUUCAGUAGGGCCCUCAAUAAAGAACAAGUGUAUGCUUCUGAAAAUAGGCUGGGAAAGGGUGAAGAAACCACAGAGGACUGAGCAGCUGUCAAGGACAGGGCUACUGUGGUAUCCAACUGUUUUGAUAACACUUCAAGACAUUUAACAGUUGGCUUCCCUUAAACCAGCAAACCACUAAGUGUGGGGGCCCUUCAGUGGACAAAUUAUGGCCAUGAGAUGCCUCCUCAACAAGUGAUUUACUAGCCACAUUUGCCUGGAAGCCAGGCUUUUAUUUUAAGAAUCUAAUGUUGAGCACCUAAUUUGAUCAGUCCAAAUGGGUAGAUUAUGGAAGAUGGGGAUAAGCCAUUCUCCUUAUGGUCUUCUUAUUCCUCCAGCUAAUCUGGGCCACCUGGAAUACCAAAGCAUACUUGGCAAAUUCACUCAGAAGCAAUUUCCAGAAUUUCUUUAUCAAGCCUUUCUCUCAACUUAAAAUUUCCUCUUAAAUAGGAAAUCAUUGCUCUUUUGUUUGUUUUUCAAUCUUGGUUUAUAUUAAACAUUGUCAAAUUAAUUCGUAAACCCUGGAAUGGCCAUCAGCUUCCACUUAGGGAGUUAUUCUCUUAUCUUGCACUGUCCCUGUUCCCCCAGAAUCUUAGAAAUGUCACCCUCAAGUGACUAAGAUCAUUAUCUUUACUUUUGAUCUAUUACUCAUCUGACCUUUCCCCCCAAAUACUGAUCUUCAGAUUGGAAAUGAGUAACAUCUCUCAGGCCGGAAUCUCCCUGUUCAUAAAUAGUCUCUAAGGGUGUAGUUCCUGAUAAUCCUUGCUGAGCUUCUUGUGUUUAGUCCUUUCAUCACCCAGAAUUCUGAUUCCAAGUUCUUUCACUCAAACUUCAAAGAGGACUUUGGCUUAUUUCAACGAUUCUAAGUAGAGACAAUGAUAAAUAAGUAUUAACUAUGUUUUUUCUUUUUUUAAUGGUAUAAGUAGAGGAAAAUGUCAAAGUUGGCACAUAGAAGGUAGCUUUGGUAGUCCCAGGUAUCUGGCACUCUCUCCCUAUCUUUCAUUCUCCCACUCUCCCCGUUCUGAAUAUAAUUUUUAGCACCUCUGUACACUUGGGAUACAGAGCCAAGUAUUACUUAAUUCAGUCAUAUUGUUCCAGUAAAGUGAACUGCAGCCCUCCAAAUGAAUUUGUGUAAUCUUGAUAUUCAUUUCAUUCCACAUAUUAACCUUCCAGCCAUAAGGCCCCUGGAAUCACUUUACUCACUUGCUGUUAAAAUUUCCAGAGCUUCACUUACCCUUCAAAUGGACUUAAAUUCAAACGUUUAUUGUCCUUGACAAUUUAGCUGAUUGGAUGUAUUUAGUAGAUGUUCCCUCAUUGAAAACCAUUCACUCACUUAAAAAGCAUGCAUUGAGUACCCAUCCCGUGCCAGGCCCUCUGAUGCGUAAAGACUGGCUGGCUCAUUCCUCCUCUGUGUGCCUCUCUGUGUGUACUGGAAAUGCCUGUCCUUUGUGUGAUUUAGCCAAGGUUGACCAGUACUAAGGAGUUCUGGUGGUACAAUGGUUAAGUGCAACUGAAUGGUUGAUGGUUUGAACCACCAGCCAACCACAUGAGGAAGAUUGGCUGUCUGCUUCCGUAAGGAUUACAGCCUUGGAAACCCUUUGGGGCAGUUCUGCUCUGUCAUAUAGGGUCCCUAUGAGUCAGAAUUGAUUCGAAAGCAUUUUUUUUUCUCUUUUUUGACCGGUACUACCUAUGUUGCUCAGAGCAUACUGUAGUCUCAAUAAAAAUUUUUAUUUUUGAGGACAUCAGUGAGUUGAGCCUUUGUUCAUCUUCUAUGAGCAGUUCAAACUCAGAUUUCAUGGAAGGCACUCAGUAAUAGGGGGAUAAAAUAUGGAUGGCCUAGAAAAUUAGGUACAGAUUUAUAUGACUUGAAGCAGAGAUUAAGGAGUCACUUAAGGUUUUAUACCAGGUGAGGAAUAAACUAAAUUGGGUGUUUCAUAUAGAAAAUAUGGCAGAGACAUUAAGUUUAUUUAGAAAAAGGGUGUGAUAGCAGGAAAUGCUAGUAAAAAAAUUAGUAUUUCAGUUAUGGAGUCAUGGAGACCUGUGUCAGCUUAUACAAUGGGAAGGGAGAGUAUGGGAAGAUCUAAGAGCUACGUCCGAAGAAGAACUAUAGAAAAUGAGUGAAAAAAUUGUGGCAGAAAAUAUAAUAUUCAUUCAAGCCAAUACUAUAGUUUCUAGGAAAGAAUGUUAUGAAUGAAGAUGGAAAGGUCGUAAAUUGCAAAGGUUCUGAAUAGCACAAAGACAACAAACAUGAAUUUUGUCCUACCAGCCUAGCUGGUAUUAGGCUACUGACUUCCCCUCUUGUCUACGUAACUUUACAGAAUUUACCUAAAAUCACUGGUCGCCACCUCCUGUCUUCCCAGUUUGAGUUCUCUGGCACCUACACUCCAUUAAUUCUUCAACCUCAUUGGACCUCCCAGGCAUUGAUGCCCACCACUUUUCCACUAUCUUUUCUUCCCCUUCUUUCUCCACUUUCCACCUCUCCCAGCAUAGAUUCCGUAGUCCCUCAUCAUAGAUCUUUGCGAACAGCUUCAAUCUCUCUCUUCUCUCUCCAUUCAUUAUUGUUAUUGUUGUUGUUGUCGUUGUUAGGUGCCAUCGAGUUGGUUCCGACUCAUAGCGACCCUAAGCACAACAGAAAGAAACACUGCCCGGUCCUGCGCCAUCCUUACAAUCGUUGUUAUGCUUGAGCUCAUUGUUGCAGCUGCUGUGUCAAUCCACCUCGUUGAGGGUCUUCCUCUUUUCCUCUGACCCUGUACUCUGCCAAGCCUGAUGUCCUUCUCCAGGGACUGAUCCCUCCUGACAACAUGUCCAAAGUAUGUAAGACACAGCCUCGCCAUCCU